rnacentral:misc_RNA from 1 species
GCUUCGGCAACUGCGAUCUAUGGAUCGCGCGGCGCCAAUGGAGUCAUACUGGUCACAACCAACAGAGGUCUUAAAGGACAGAAAGCAAGAGUUUCUUACAAUGGCUUUUAUGGCCCGAAGAAAGUUUUUAGCAAAUACCCAAUGAUGAGUGGGCCUGACAUGGUCAGACUCCGCCAACUGAAUGUACCGUACAGGAACUACGG